rnacentral:tRNA from 1 species
GGGGAUUUAGCUCAGUGGCAUAAAGCUCCUGCCUUGCAAGCAGCAGUCAUGAGUUCAAUCCCUG